ensembl:lncRNA
CGGGUCUCCGAAGCCCAGGCGGAAGACCCCGCCCCGCCGCGGAGAAGGAGUGAGCCCAUUGGUUUAUGCCCGGUAAAACAGUUCAGCUAGAACCCGGAAGGAAAGUGUGGGUUGUCCUGGGGAGCUACUGAGGUUAGAGAAGUGUCUCUGGGGCGAGUAAAGGAAUCUCUUCUGAAAACAUCUCAGGUGGCAAAGUUGUACUUUCCUUAUUUUUAACUCCUUCAAAAGUGAAAGUAAAGUGGAAUUCUGCAUAUUCCGCUUUAGGAUGGCAGUUUAAGAAUUAUUAGUAGCUGGGUGAGUGCGCACAGUCGCAGCCGCUGACGUACUUGAUAGUUUCAGGCCAGCAUGGGAAAGUAUGCACCAACUGUAAAUAGGAUUCACUGCUGGUCUGCUUCAGAGGAUUUCCUACUCUCGAAGGUUGAGACCUUCCCUUACCACAAGGCUGAUGCCCUGAUAUUGGCAAAGAGACAGUUUUAAAAAAUGUGUUUUCCUCUUGGGGUUUUCUGCAGUCUCCAGUGAUCAAGAUACCCAGUUCACUGGGCAAAUCAUAUAAGCCUUUAGAAAAACCUUACAAACUUCUUGGAAUUAUCACUGUCCCUGUCACUCUCAAUUAUCCAGCAAGGACAACAGAACUAGUGGAAAAACUGAACUCAAAGAAGAACAAGAAUUAAUUAUAUGGG